AACAAUGUCCCAUCAUGUGCUAUGUUGGUGACGUCACAGGAAACAAAGAAGUCAGUGUUAGAAGAUAGCAAACGUACAGGAGGUCAUUGCUGUGUCCUUAGAAGAAUGACUGACACAUAGUAAGGGCUCAAUAAAUAUUUGAUGAAUUAGUGAAUGAAAGAAACAGGGCUAAACUCCAAUCAUGUUCCUUCUUAUCAUGUGUAAUGUUGGGUAAAUUACUUCCCUGAGUUUUACUCUCUCUUCAUUUGUGAAAUGAGGCUGGUAAUAAUGACAACUGCCAUAUUUUUCUCAAGGAUUGUUGAUGAGAUGCCCAUGUAAUAUUAAAAGAUGAUGUUGUGAGUCCUUACCAUGUCUCGUGCACAAUAUAAAAUUUAAUCUUUACCAUGAUCUUCACAGUAAUCAUAGGAGCAAUACUUUGUAGCUUGGAAUUGGAAAUUGGCCAACUAAA